rnacentral:rRNA from 1 species
GGACCCGCACAAGCGGUGGAGCAUGUGGUUUAAUUCGAAGCAACGCGAAGAACCUUACCAAAUCUUGACAUCCUUUGACAACUCUAGAGAUAGAGCCUUCCCCUUCGGGGGACAAAGUGACAGGUGGUGCAUGGUUGUCGUCAGCUCGUGUCGUGAGAUGUUGGGUUAAGUCCCGCAACGAGCGCAACCCUUAAGCUUAGUUGCCAUCAUUAAGUUGGGCACUCUAAGUUGACUGCCGGUGACAAACCGGAGGAAGGUGGGG